rnacentral:rRNA from 1 species
AUUGAACGCUGGCGGCAGGCCUAACACAUGCAAGUCGAGCGGAUGAUGGGAGCUUGCUCCUUGAUUCAGCGGCGGACGGGUGAGUAAUGCCUAGGAAUCUGCCUGGUAGUGGGGGACAACGUUUCGAAAGGAACGCUAAUACCGCAUACGUCCUACGAGAGGAAGCAGGGGACCUUCGGGCCUUGCGCUAUCAGAUGAGCCUAGGUCGGAUUAGCUUGUUGGUGAGGGAGGGGCUCACCAAGGCGACGAUCCGUAACUGGUCUGAGAGGAUGAUCAGUCACACUGGAACUGAGACACGGUCCAGACUCCUACGGGAGGCAGCAGUGGGGAAUAUUGGACAAUGGGCGAAAGCCUGAUCCAGCCAUGCCGCGUGUGUGAAGAAGGUCUUCGGAUUGUAAAGCACUUUAAGUUGGGAGGAAGGGUUGUAGAUUAAUACUCUGCAAUUUUGACGUUACCGACAGAAUAAGCACCGGCUAACUCUGUGCCAGCCGCCGCCGUAACAC